rnacentral:rRNA from 1 species
CCUACGGGUGGCUGCAGUGGGGAAUAUUGGACAAUGGGGGCAACCCUGAUCCAGCCAUGCCGCGUGUGUGAAGAAGGCCCUCGGGUUGUAAAGCACUUUCAGUGAGGAAGAACGCCUGGUGGUGAAUACCCAUCAGGAAAGACAUCACUCACAGAAGAAGCACCGGCUAACUCCGUGCCAGCAGCCGCGGUAAUACGGAGGGUGCGAGCGUUAAUCGGAAUUACUGGGCGUAAAGCGCGCGUAGGUGGCUUGAUAAGCCGGUUGUGAAAGCCCCGGGCUCAACCUGGGAACGGCAUCCGGAACUGUCAAGCUAGAGUGCAGGAGAGGAAGGUAGAAUUCCCGGUGUAGCGGUGAAAUGCGUAGAGAUCGGGAGGAAUACCAGUGGCGAAGGCGGCCUUCUGGACUGACACUGACACUGAGGUGCGAAAGCGUGGGUAGCAAACAGGAUUAGAUACCCGUGUAGUC